rnacentral:rRNA from 1 species
UACGAAGGGGGCUAGCGUUGCUCGGAAUCACUGGGCGUAAAGGGUGCGUAGGCGGGUCUUUAAGUCAGGGGUGAAAUCCUGGAGCUCAACUCCAGAACUGCCUUUGAUACUGAGGAUCUUGAGUUCGGGAGAGGUGAGUGGAACUGCGAGUGUAGAGGUGAAAUUCGUAGAUAUUCGCAAGAACACCAGUGGCGAAGGCGCUCACUGGCCCGAUACUGACGCUGAGGCACGAAAGCCAGGGGAGCGAACGGG